UGAGUAUUUAAGGUAUUUAAAAUGAUAAAUUGGUUUUAAGUGCAUAGAAGCUUUUAUUUAUUUUAAAACGUGGAGUUACUGAAUGGCACCAGGGAAUAUUAAUCAAUCUUUGUUCUUUCUCAUUUAAUUUUUUUUAGAUGACAUGCAAUAGGUGCCAUCUGAGGAUUUUUACGAUAGCAUCAAGUUGACUUUUCAGUGGAACCUGGCAAUGAAGGACUUUUGUUUUGUGUUUGUUUGAAGAACAAUUCAAUUUUCAGAGCUGUGAAUGAAAAAUAAAAUACCCACAUGUAUAACUUAUACAGAUUGUUAUAUCUAUUGUAAAUUGUAUUUAAAGAAUAGUGCAAAGCAGAUAUAAAACAAACAAAAAAAGGAGUGCAUGAAUCUGUACAUAUGUUAUGUAAUGUCUACAAACGGAAAUUAAUAAUUUUUUGAGUUUUAUUUGUUUGAAGGAAUUAACAUACGCUGUUCUCUUCAAGUGACUGAAAUAAUGUUAUUUUAUUAGUGGCAUUGUAUAUUUAACAUUGUGCGUAGCUUAUUGCUGUUAAGUUGAAAGGAAAGGGAUGUUAUAUAACCUAUGAGACUGUGACUAUUGUAAUUAAGGUUAGUGGGCAGUGGCAAAGAACCACUAGAAGGAUGUUUAGUGUUCUCACACCAAAUCAAAGGCCAGGAGAUUGCUUGAAAGGUCUAUGCAUUCUUUCCAGUAUCAUAAAAUAACACAGGAAGCCCUGUGACUGGGGAUCAAAACAUAAGGAAUAUUAGUGUCUCCAAGCCUCUGUUGUAACUAGAAAUCUAUUAUCUUAAUAACUGGACCAAGAUAAACUGCAAUGCUAUUCAAAACCUUGACAACCCAAUGUGUCACUGCAUUCUGGUACUUAAAUUGAUAUUCUAAUCAUCAAAACAAGUUUAGCUUAAUGAAGCAGUUUUAGUGUAUAGAUCAGGUCCUUCAGUCUUACUGCUCAUUUCUUUGCCAUGUAGGAGUUAAAUCACUUUAAUUUCUGUUUAUGCAGCCCUAGCCACUCCUCCACCGGCUGUGACGCACACAACCUAUAUGAAAGAAUUUUACAAUCAGCUCUUACAGCACAGUGUGCUUCAUUUUUAAAUUCCUGUCUCUUUUUUGGCAAUUGAACUUGAACCAUACACUCAAGACUGUUGCAAGCUCUAACACGUAAUUAAUAGAGCAAGAGAUGAGAAAUUCUAAAUUAAACAAACUUUGCAAAAUGGGAACCUAAAAAAAUGUAGGCUCUUUUUCAGGAAGUAGGGAGGCUGUGUUCGUGUCACCCAGGGGAGGUGAGGGUAGUAAUAUAUAAACAAAGUGAUUUGACUCCUAAAUGCAGUAAAUUUAGCUGUUAGACUGUAGGGGCAUGAUCUAUACACUAAAAUAGUUUCAUUACACUAACGUUGUUUUAGUGCUUAUAGUUUCCCUUUAACAAAACAGUAAUGAUUCAACCUAAAUUCAACUUAUUAGAAAAAGAACAUUAGAUAAGUUCAGAUCUGUGUGUGAAAUCUAUGGAGAAUGUCUAUAUUUGUGGUCUUAGAAAAUCUGUAUUUUACAGCAGGCUGGAUGGGGGCUGCCUUUAAUUUAUUGUGUGUUUUCUUCUUGCUGGACAGGAUUUAAUUUCAAACUUUCCUUAAAAAAAAAAGGUGUUUUUUCUCUCUAUCUUAAGCCUCUAUUGAAAAGGCACAGUACCUUUUUUCAAGUAGUAAAAAUAACAGGCACAUAACAUUUUCAUACCUAUUUGAACGUGAUCUCAUUGACCCUACAAAAAUCCAUACUGUUGUGGAAUAUCCUACUUGUGGCUCUGCUAAUACCUCAAAUGGAACUAUUACUUCCAGAAAAGUGAUAUAUUUUUUUUUUCAUUUAAAGGGACAGAAUAGUUGUCAAUAAAACUUUAGCUUAAUGAAACAGGCUUGGUGUAUAGAGCAUGCCUCUGAAGUUUUACUGCUCAAUUCUCUGCCAUUGAAGGGAUAAAUUACUUUUGUUUCUGUUUAUGCCGACCUAGCCACACCUCUACUGGCUGUGACUGACACAGCCUGCAUGGAAACAGAAUGGUUUCAUUUUUUAAUCAGAUGUAACUUAUUUAAAAAGUUUUUAUCUCUUGCUCUGUAAAUUGAACUUUAAUUACAUUCAGGAGACUCCUGAAGAGUCUGGCAAGCUAUUAAAUGAGCAGGUAAUAAGAAAUGCUAACUUAAACAGAAUUUGCAAUACAGCAAGUGUAAACAUUAGAUGACUCUUUACAGGAAGUGUUUAGGAAGGCUGUGCAAGUCACAUGCAGGGAGGUUUGCCUAGGGCUGCAUAAACAAAGUGAUUUAACUUCUAGAUGGCAGAAUAUUGAGCAGUGAAACUGCAGGGUCAUGAUCUAUACACCAAAACUGCUUCAGUAAGCUAAAGUUGUUUUGGUGACUACAGUGUUCUCUUUAAUCACCCCGGUUAACGCGAUUGCAGUAUUUACUUGGUGAAUAAAGCAAAGUAAAUAAAUAAAAAAACCUCACCUGCACUUAUAUGUUGUCAGUGACAUGCUCAUGUGCACUGAUCUCUAUGAAGAAAUUCCAAACAAGCGCAUCAGCUUGAUCUUUUCUGUGUGUUCUGGAUAUGGCAUUGGGGUUGACCAAUUUGCUUUCUUUGCAUUUUGUGCCAGACACAGCAUGUUAAUUAAAAAAUUAAAAUAAAUCUAUCAAUAAGUAGAAAAAAAUGAGCACAAGCAAUAACCAAAUCUCCUCUUUAAUGCGUAGCCUAUUCCAUGUUAGGGCCAAAUUGUGACAUUAUUGUAAAAUUGUGGUUCUAAAAGAGUUGAAGAACAUGAAUAAAAAUGAAAAAAUUCUGAUAUUGGGACCAAGUUAUCUAAAGUAAUGUCACAAAACAAAUUAUUGUUGCAUUUUCUUUAUGUAAGAUACUUAUAUAAUUAGAGUAUCUUCUUACAGGUCCCUUUCAUUACAUUUCUGUUGCCUCUGUUACAUAGUUAAGAUAUUGUACAAGUUCCUUGCUUAGGAAUAAUUUAUAUUUCAAGCAUGCUGUACGAAGUAUUUUGGUUACUUAAAAAAAUAAAAAUAAUAAUAAUAAUAAUACAUUUCUUGACCACCAGCUUAACUGCAUUAAUGUUUG